GCUAGCUACAGGCUUAACACAUGCAAGUCGAGGGGCAGCAUGGUCUUAGCUUGCUAAGGCCGAUGGCGACCGGCGCACGGGUGAGUAACACAUAUCCAACCUGCCGUCUACUCUUGGACAGCCUUCUGAAAGGAAGAUUAAUACAAGAUGGCAUCAUGAGUCCGCAUGUUCACAUGAUUAAAGGUAUUCCGGUAGACGAUGGGGAUGCGUUCCAUUAGAUAGUAGGCGGGGUAACGGCCCACCUAGUCUUCGAUGGAUAGGGGUUCUGAGAGGAAGGUCCCCCACAUUGGAACUGAGACACGGUCCAAACUCCUACGGGAGGCAGCAGUGAGGAAUAUUGGUCAAUGGGCGAGAGCCUGAACCAGCCAAGUAGCGUGAAGGAUGACUGCCCUAUGGGUUGUAAACUUCUUUUAUAAAGGAAUAAAGUCGGGUAUGGAUACCCGUUUGCAUGUACUUUAUGAAUAAGGAUCGGCUAACGCCGUGCCAGCAGCCGCGGUAAUACGGAGGAUCCGAGCGUUAUCCGGAUUUAUUGGGUUUAAAGGGAGCGUAGAUGGAUGUUUAAGUCAGUUGUGAAAGUUUGCGGCUCAACCGUAAAAUUGCAGUUGAUACUGGAUAUCUUGAGUGCAGUUGAGGCAGGCGGAAUUCGUGGUGUAGCGGUGAAAUGCUUAGAUAUCACGAAGAACUCCGAUUGCGAAGGCAGCCUGCUAAGCUGCAACUGACAUUGAGGCUCGAAAGUGUGGGUAUCAAACAGGAUUAGAUACCCUGGUAGUCCACACGGUAAACGAUGAAUACUCGCUGUUUGCGAUAUACUGCAAGCGGCCAAGCGAAAGCGUUAAGUAUUCCACCUGGGGAGUACGCCGGCAACGGUGAAACUCAAAGGAAUUGACGGGGGCCCGCACAAGCGGAGGAACAUGUGGUUUAAUUCGAUGAUACGCGAGGAACCUUACCCGGGCUUAAAUUGCAGAUGAAUUACGGUGAAAGCCGUAAGCCGCAAGGCAUCUGUGAAGGUGCUGCAUGGUUGUCGUCAGCUCGUGCCGUGAGGUGUCGGCUUAAGUGCCAUAACGAGCGCAACCCUUGUUGUCAGUUACUAACAGGUUCCGCUGAGGACUCUGACAAGACUGCCAUCGUAAGAUGUGAGGAAGGUGGGGAUGACGUCAAAUCAGCACGGCCCUUACGUCCGGGGCUACACACGUGUUACAAUGGGGGGUACAGAGGGCCGCUACCACGCGAGUGGAUGCCAAUCCCCAAAACCUCUCUCAGUUCGGACUGGAGUCUGCAACCCGACUCCACGAAGCUGGAUUCGCUAGUAAUCGCGCAUCAGCCACGGCGCGGUGAAUACGUUCCCGGGCCUUGUACACACCGCCCGUCAAGCCAUGGGGGCCGGGGGUACCUGAAGUGCGUAACCGCGAGGAGCGCCCUAGGGUAAAACUGGUGACUGGG
rnacentral:rRNA from 1 species